rnacentral:rRNA from 1 species
GAACGCUAGCGGCAGGCUUAACACAUGCAAGUCGAGGGGCAGCAUGAUUGAACUUUCGGGUUCGAUUGAUGGCGACCGGCGCAAGGGUGCGUAACGCGUGAGCAACUUGCCCGUUUCAGGGGGAUAACCGGUGGAAACGCCGACUAAUACCCCAUAGUAUCAUGAUCAGGCAUCUUUUCAUGAUUAAAGAAUUUCGGAAACGGAUAGGCUCGCGUGACAUUAGCUAGAUGGCGGGGUAACGGCCCACCAUGGCGACGAUGUCUAGGGGUUCUGAGAGGAAGGUCCCCCACACUGGAACUGAGACACGGUCCAGACUCCUACGGGAGGCAGCAGUGAGGAAUAUUGGUCAAUGGCCGGGAGGCUGAACCAGCCAUGCCGCGUGAAGGUCACGGCCCUAUGGGUCUUAAACUUCUUUUGUAAGGGAGCAAUAAGGAUCACGUGUGGUCCGAUGAGAGUACCUUACGAAUAAGCAUCGGCUAACUCCGUG